GAAUUUGGGUCACACAACCUCUAAUAGAAAAAAACCUAUAAUGAAAUAAUGUUAAAAAAUAAAAUGUUAUUAGAUGAUUAUUAUAGUGAGAAUGGACCGUAUGUAAAACCCAUUUUUAUAUUCAUGAUUGUGACCUAUGGAGUGGAGAUGGCUAGGGAUGGAAAAAUUUGGCAUUUACCAGGACCUCAAAAGGUAAGAGUUUUUCUUUGGCUGGAUUUUUU
rnacentral:lncRNA from 1 species